GUACAGACAUACACCCGGCACACCCUCGACGCUAGGUGUGUGAGUGUGUAUGCAUUUAUAAAGGUGUUAAAAGUAGGAGUAGGGCAAUAAGAAUACCAAAUAAUUUCAUAUAUAUAUAUAUAUUUAUGUAUAUAUAUAUUUGUACAUUAUCAAACUUACCCGUUCAAUACAUCAGUAAAGGGCAACAUACAAAACCUUGUCCGCUUCUCAAGUCUUCUAAAAUGUCCCAACAAACAACAAUAAAAUCCAAAACAGACACAUUAUUAAAGUGACAAAGGUAAAGUAAUUAUUUUUUAUUUUAUUUUAGUUAUUUUUUUUUACAUUUUUGAAAGGCUCGGAACAAGGUCGAUGGUAGUGUGACAGAUUCAGCAAUUAAUAAGCCACGUGAUUAUGUUCAAUAUGGUUCAUAAUAUUUAUCUCAAGUUAACAACAGAACCAUUUUGAGCAUCAUUGUUAGUUUAGGAGUCACUGGCAGCGUCACAUGUGUAGACUGAAUAUCAUGAGCGGCAGUCUUACAUGGUGAAUACCUAUGGAUCAAAUUGUUGUGACGUACCAUAAAGAGUGGCUCAUCGUCAUCUGAGCCAUCGCUGCUGGCAUCAGACGAGGAUGACCUGAUAAUUGUUGGGCACCUGGUUGUUGCACUUCCGUUGACUUGGCUGCUCUCAGUGACAAUGACCUCGCUCCCCACACCCGCCUUCACACGUCACGAAUGGGUCACCAAAACACGUGAAGAGGACAUCCAAGGACAUGGAAAUGGCAGAAAAUGCCAGGAACAGAGUGUCCAGAGGUAUCCAGCUGCUGAGAGUUCUUGAGUUCAUCCAGAAGAGCAGGGGGAGGCGGAGAAGACAGGGUCUUCCGCUGGAAUGACACAGUCUUACUAAGUUUUGACCGUCUCGCUACAAAGCCUUCGACUGUUGGAGCCUUCAUAAGCUUCCGCAAGUCAGCACCAUCUGGGGGUAACAGAUUUCCUCGCGAGUCCUCCCGAGACAUACGUUUUAAAAUACUCUUUAAGGUUUUUCUCUCUGGUGUCUCAGUACUCUCUGGUGAGGAGAGUGGUGGGGAAACAUCAUCACUAGGCACCUGCAGAAAUAUAAAAAUUUCAGUAAUAAUGAUAAUAAUAAUAAUAAUGUACUGUAAUGAAAAUAACAAAAUAAUAUUUUUAUUGAUGUUAUAAUAAUGUUGUAAUAAUUACAUUAAUAACAAUGCAAUAUCUAUAGUAACAAAUAUAAGACACUAAUAAUGUACAGUAAACCUCCGUUAAUUCGGACUUCAUUAAUCUUGAAAUCUGGAUAAUUCAGACCCUAUCUGGCCCAUUCAUACUCUUUUGGGAAAACUGGAAACUUCUGAAAUGUUCCAAAAUGUUGCACAAGUACUGUACAGUAGUCAAGUUUAUUAAUUCAUAUCAUAUUGAUGCCAGUGGGUCUAUUUGGACUCUACCCACAAAAACUAGUAAAAGCUACAAAAUCAUGGAUCAAAACAAAUAUUGGUCCUAUCUACUGUGUGGCUGACAAACCCUACAUCAUGUACAGUAUUAUCAUAUGUCCACGACCCUUGUUUAACCCUACUAGACACUACUUGGCUGCUGAGGCAAUCACAUACCUGCCCAAAGGCAGCCCAAGCAUUCAAGCCCUAAGUUUAUAGUUGUUCCUUCUGGUUUAGUGGGUGGCUGAUCCAACCAGAUGCCACAGGUUGUCACAUCUUCACUGCCAUGCUAACUGAAGAUGACCCAGGACUGUUGCCUGCCUAAAGGAGACUAAGUGUCUUCACCCUCUAUUCACAGCUAUUAUGUCUUAACUACCAUUCCGGUAACAUUACUCUAAAGAUUGUACAGUAUACUGUGAUACCUCUUGGGAUAUUUAUCUGUUUGCACAACUCCCUAUUUUAUAACCAUGGUAAGUGGUAGUGGUGCUAGUGCAAGGGCCUGACAAGUGCAUAAGCAUACAAGCAAUCCUGAUGAUGUGAAAAUAAUAAAGGUGCUGAGCAUAGUACACGUGCACAAAAGUUACAACACAAAUUAAGCCUAUAGAAAAGAACAUGAUAUACAUCCAUUCUUGCUCUGCACAGCUGAUUACUUGCUUCCUGUGCACCAGGGGCUUAGUAUUCAAUGUGAUGUACAAUAACUGUGCUGACCCUGAAGAGCUGUAUGUAUAUGGUAACCACUUUCAGAUGUUAUGUCUGUGUCAGUAUUUGUUUUUCAUGUUUAAUAGAACAUGGAUACAAGAGAAAACUGUACUAAAGAUGUUUGUAAAACGGCCAUAAAUGGUUUCAUUUUGUGCCCCAGAAGAUACUCCCCAAGUAUUCCGGAAAUCUGGAUCUCCAAUACCACGCUUCCUCCCUAUUAGUCCGGAUUAUCGUGAGUUUACUGUCAUAAUUCUAAUAAAAACAGCAGUAAUUAUAAUGGUAACAUUAAUAACAAUAACUUUAACAAUUCUAAUUGGAAAACAUUGAUAAUUCUAAGAAAAAUUAAAACUCUAAUAAAAAGACUAAUAAUAACCAUGAUCUACAACUCCAACUGUGAACAGGCAGAAGGUCUUUCAAUAUAUUUCAGUGAACUGACCUUGGUAAAUUUCAGGAGCCAUCACUAUGAAAAGCCUUAAAAUAGUCAGAACAAUCAGCCCCAGAAUGAACAAAUGUAAGAAAGCUUCACUCUCAUACGCUUUACGAAACUAAGAUGGAAAGUGUUUAAGAGAAGCUCCUCAAGAAGCAGCAGCAAAAGAGCUCCUAUGAGUAGUGGGAGGUGACAACUACCAUGAGUGAGAGGAACCUGGAUAUCUUGGUUUUGUGCAAAACAAAGUUUAAAAAGGGACAGGAAAAGUGGGUUGGGGACAAGUAUAUCUGUACUGUAUUGACAUUACUGUAUUAUGCUUCUAUAUCUCAACAUUCUUAAUUCCACUGAGAGAAAUGUAUAAACAAGUCAUAGAAUACCAUGUACAGAAGGCAUUGUCUGGUGAGUAACUAUUUCCAUUAACCAAUAACAGUAAUAAAAAUAAUUCAUAGGUUCACGGGUCAAAUCUGGGGCUAGUUUAGACAUUUCCAAGGGUUGGAAGAUGCAAAUUUUGGCUAAAAUGAAUGGUGCAUUCUGGACAUGGUUUUUUCCCCUAUUAACAGUUCUAUUUCCCUGUUAUAUACUGUACUACUAAAAUGUUGCACACAGAAUUCAACUAAGACGUUGCAGUUUUUACUGAUAAAAAAUUCAAUCUCACAGAUGGAAUAAAACAAAAACUUCUCUAACUCCACAAUGACUGUCCAAUCUGUCCUUAGUUUUGGAAGUAAUUAUUAUUAUUAUACUAAAAACUUUAAUUUAUUUCAUAAGAUUUGAGAAUUAUUAUCUCAUUAGAGGGUGGGGAUUUCUAACAGCUUGAUAAUAGGAUCAGCACAACUUGAUCCUACCUCUGUUGACCUUGAUGAGUUCACUGGUUGUGUCCCUGUGCUGGUUAUAGUCUGGAUAUUGUGAAAUUUUUUUACAAAGAAACAUGGCCACCAAUCACAUAAAUUAGCUGCAUUAUAUUACAACUUACCUAUAUGUAUGCAUAAAGUAAUAUGAAACUAAAUAAAACUUUCCACCUGAAAAUGUGUGAUUAGAACAAAUAUGGCCAUUAAUUAGUAAAUAAGGCAGUACAGUAAAGCUCUAUCCUAAUAAUAAACACAGCACAUUACUCUACAGUACAUCUUACCAGUCAUUAACAGUACAGUACGGUACAGUAUUUUAAUGUAUAAAUAACUUAUAUUAAUUCUAGGCAGUCCACAUAUCAAUUGGACAUAUGGACAGAUUUGUUCUUAUCUCAAUGUUCAUAAGUAGAAGAGCACCUGUAUUUGAAACUUACAGAAAGUGGGGAAAGGAAAUUUGAGGUGAAUGAGCUGUACUGUACAUGUAAGUCAAUGAAUAAUUUAUAGAUGCCUGUAGUACAUGAAAAUAUAACAGUCAAAGUUACAAUGCUUCUGGUAGUUGAACGGCAGAUUGACCUGAAAUCAAGAGGAGGAACAUUAUGCCUUAAUAAGUUUGGCACUGAAAUGGCAACUUCAGCUUAAUAUAAUUUAUUAGUGUCUGGAGGGAAGCCGUUGCACCAAAUAGUGAUGGAGAGAGAAAAUUAAAUGGUUUAUCCAAUGGAUUAAUAAAUCAACCCUGGCUGCAUAUGGGGCCUUUGUGGUGCUGUAAGAUGCCCAGAAAGGAGCGAUGUAUUAACAGGAUCACCUGACUUGGUGGUAACAGGUAAAAGCAACACAACAUACUGUAUGGAGUUAUAAAAACAAAAACUAAAGACAACCAAUAAAGCAUACCUGUAAUGAACCUACAGUACUUUCAUAUACAAUUUCAUAGGGAGUUAUCACACGAUGAUAAUGUUUCAAUGUUUUGAGUGGUGUGUUGACAGAGUUGGUCUGAUAUACAGGUUAACCUUAUAGCUAACCACUUCAGUGCAUCUUAAGAACUGAUAUAAGAGUGAGGGUUAAAAAUUAAUAUGGUUGUGGGAGAAUUGUAAAGAAAAAAUACAAUACUGUACACUGUACUGUACUGUAUUUUUCUCAAUUAUGGAGAACAUAUGUGCCCAAAACCUUUUGUAAUUUAACUUCUUGUCAUCUACAGUAAUUCAAAUUUUAAUGAAAUCUAAUUACAAAUACUGUACAGCUCUGCUUAAAUAUAUUGUAUUUUGGCAUGUCUUAGUGAAGUAGUUAAGAUUGUUUUAUCAUUCUGGUUACGUUUCAAUUUCUUCAUACGUAAUCAAAUAUAAAUAAAAUAUAAACUCCAAGAAAGUACAGUAAAACAUUUUUAAAUAUGUACAUACAGUAUACUGUAUUUUAUAUCUAUAACCCUUCAACCCCUCUUCUAAUUAUCAUUCACCAUUUUCAGUUUGUUUGUAUGAACACAUUAAAAUUAGCCAAGAGAGGAAAUACUGUACAACCAGGAUCAAAAGUUCACUCCCUCCUAAACUGAAUCAUCAAGACCCCAAACUUACAGUCAGGUGGUUCCAAUCGAUCCAGUUGGUGUUGUAGGUGACCUUACCACUGUCAUUGAGGGUGUUAUUCUUGGUCCUGCUGUUGGUUGUGUUGCCGCUACUGAUGGUGUUUCUUUUCCUGUGCCCGUUGUUGGAGGCGCAGCUGACAUGGAGAACCAUCAUCAUGCGUGUAAACACUUGACAACAAUGAUGACAUCCUAUCUCCUCUUGUACGUUUUAACUGACUACUGUAUGUAUUAUCAGUGAAAUUUAUGGUUUCUUUUGCAUACUGUACAUAACCAUCAAAUCAAUCAUAAACUGUACAGUACAGUAUAGACAUUUAGUAAUAAACAAUAAUGAAU